rnacentral:rRNA from 1 species
UACGUAGGGGGCAAGCGUUGUCCGGAUUCAUUGGGCGUAAAGCGCGUGUAGGCGGCCAGAAAAGUCCGCUGUGAAAACUCGAGGCUCAACUUCGAGCUGUCGGUGGAAACUUUCUGGCUAGAGUCCGGAAGAGGAGAAUGGAAUUCCUGGUGUAGCGGUGAAAUGCGCAGAUAUCAGGAAGAACACCCGUGGCGAAGGCGGUUCUCUGGGACGGUACUGACGCUGAGACGCGAAAGCGUGGGGAGCGAACAGG